rnacentral:rRNA from 1 species
UACGAGGGGGGCUAGCGUUGUUCGGAAUUACUGGGCGUAAAGCGCGCGCAGGCGGUCUUCCAAGUCAGUGGUGAAAGCCCGGAGCUCAACUCCGGAACUGCCAUUGAAACUGUAAGACUUGAGGAUGAGAGAGGUGAGUGGAAUUCCCAGUGUAGAGGUGAAAUUCGUAGAUAUUGGGAAGAACACCGGUGGCGAAGGCGGCUCACUGGCUCAUUUCUGACGCUCAGGCGCGACAGCGUGGGGAUCAAACAGG